rnacentral:rRNA from 1 species
UACAGAGGUCUCAAGCGUUGUUCGGAUUCAUUGGGCGUAAAGGGCGCGUAGGCGGCGAGGUAAGUCGGGUGUGAAAUCUCAGAGCUCAACUCUGAAACUGCACUCGAUACUGCUUUGCUAGAGGACUGGAGAGGAGAUUGGAAUUCACGGUGUAGCAGUGAAAUGCGUAGAGAUCGUGAGGAAGACCAGUGGCGAAGGCGGGUCUCUGGACAGUUCCUGACGCUGAGGCACGAAGGCCAGGGGAGCAAACGGG